GUGCGGUUGUUCUUGUAUCGCUCUCGUACGUUGCGUAAUCUCCUAGUGUAUACAAAUUUAAUAUUUUCAAUGUCUAACUGUGUAGUGUGCUCUGCUGAAAUUGUAUUAGCCCCAUCAAUAUCAUGUUCUAACUGCCUAAAAGUCUGGCACGUUAAUUGUGCAAAAAUUUCCAAAGAUGAAUUUGACAAGCUUACCAAACUAAAUGCACCUUGGCACUACAUUGACGUGUGUGCGUUCAGCCGUCGUGGUCGAAAAACCGCGGUCACCGAUUGUUUGCAUAUAUCAUUAUUAUUGUAUUGCGGACGUGACAAUACCGAGACUCAUUAUCGUGCAUGUCUGUGCACUGUGCAGCCACACGAGGAAUGGAAAUACGCUCUAUACAGAAAAAACGAACGAGUUAUGCCAUCUCAGGGGUUCAAAAGCCCCUGGAAGACCCGUUUCUCAACGGAAAAGGUUGAAACCUUUAUCAAAGAAUGGAGAACGGCCGUGGGAACGUUCUCUGGAAAAAUGAGAGGGGUUAUCGUCCAGAAAGGAGUAGUGUCUACGUAACUAAGUACUUGAGUAUUCUUUUGAUGUAUCUUGCGCAAAAAAUUGUCGAUUUUUUCCACUGGAAUACGUUGAUUUCUCGAGAGCUCGAAAAACGCGUGUUGUCACGGCGAAAUUCAAUAACGGACAGCACAUUCGGACUGUAGAAAUCGUGAAAUUGCAUCGAUGAUGAAGGUCGCUGCUGUCGACGUCAAUAAAGGAUAGCAAAACUCCUGUGACGACGCGUACCAACUUCCAAUCCUGACGCAGACACAAUUCUUCGAUCAACAGGGCAAACAGGGCAUUAUGACACUCGCCAUCGAGAAUUUCAAGUGCACAUCAAUGUUUCCUGGUUCGGUAACGGAAGACAUUGUGGACCCGAGUACCUUGCAACCCGAGAUAAUUAACAUCAUCACGAAGGAAAAAUAUCUCGGCGUUAUGGUUGCUACGACACACGAGUUCCGCAGGAACAUGAAAAGACUACCUUAAGCCAAGCGAGCCCGGAUAGACCAGAAGCUGAACCAGAUGUUUGGUUACUACCUUAAUCCUGGGUAACGACCGAUGUUCCUGUCCGUGGAGGAGGAACGGAUAAUUUCCUAUAUAGGAUCUUGCGGUUAAGCUCAAACCGCAUGAAACCAUAUUUUGAGCUCUCUCUCCUCAUAUUUUGAAGUCCUAUGACUAUGAGAUCCUCGUUUAACUCAUAUCGAGGACCAUAACAGAUAGCGCCAGUGACCCGAGUACGAUACGAUACUUUUGAUAUGUUUUUCGUAGUGUCUUGGGAUGAAUUUCUAACUCGCUUAGCAAUAAA